rnacentral:rRNA from 1 species
GAUGAACGCUAGCGGAAGGCCUAAUACAUGCAAGUCGAACGAAGCAGCAAUGCUUAGUGGCGCACGGGUGCGUAACGCGUAUGCAACCUACCUUCAUCAGGGGGAUAACAUUUCGAAAGAGGUGCUAAUACCGCAUGAGACUACGCUCUGGCAUCAGAGAGGAGUUAAAUUUGAGGAGGAUGAAGAUGGGCAUGCGUCUGAUUAGCUAGUUGGCGGUGUAACGGACCACCAAGGCAACGAUCAGUAGGGGAACUGAGAGGUCGAUCCCCCACACUGGCACUGAGAUACGGGCCAGACUCCUACGGGAGGCAGCAGUAGGGAAUAUUGGGCAAUGGACGGAAGUCUGACCCAGCCAUUCCGCGUGAAGGAAGAAGGUCUUCGGAUUGUAAACUUCUUUGAUCAGGGACGAAAAAAUGACGGUACCUGAAGAACAAGCCACGGCUAACUACGUG